rnacentral:rRNA from 1 species
UUGCUCCCUGAGAUUAGCGGCGGACGGGUGAGUAACACGUGGGCAACCUGCCUAUAAGACUGGGAUAACUUCGGGAAACCGGAGCUAAUACCGGAUACGUUCUUUUCUCGCAUGAGAGAAGAUGGAAAGACGGUUUACGCUGUCACUUAUAGAUGGGCCCGCGGCGCAUUAGCUAGUUGGUGAGGUAAUGGCUCACCAAGGCGACGAUGCGUAGCCGACCUGAGAGGGUGAUCGGCCACACUGGGACUGAGACACGGCCCAGACUCCUACGGGAGGCAGCAGUAGGGAAUCUUCCGCAAUGGACGAAAGUCUGACGGAGCAACGCCGCGUGAACGAAGAAGGCCUUCGGGUCGUAAAGUUCUGUUGUUAGGGAAGAACAAGUACCAGAGUAACUGCUGGUACCUUGACGGUACCUAACCAGAAAGCCACGGCUAACUACGUGCCAGCAGCCGCGGUAAUACGUAGGUGGCAAGCGUUGUCCGGAAUUAUUGGGCGUAAAGCGCGCGCAGGUGGUUCCUUAAGUCUGAUGUGAAAGCCCACGGCUCAACCGUGGAGGGUCAUUGGAAACUGGGGAACUUGAGUGCAGAAGAGGAAAGUGGAAUUCCAAGUGUAGCGGUGAAAUGCGUAGAGAUUUGGAGGAACACCAGUGGCGAAGGCGACUUUCUGGU